AGGACCUGGCUUGGUUGGGAAGUGGGGCCUGGGACCCUGGGACCCUGUGCUCCGACCCCACCUGCAAGGCUGCGCCCUCCGCAGGGGGCCGUCCGGGGGGGCCCUGCCCGCGGGUCACUGCCAGGAUCCUGCAAGCAGCCAGCGGGCACCGCUGUCACCACAUUUCACACUCUGAGGAGCUCUGGGCACAGCCUCCAGGGAAAGCCUGGCUGCCGACUCUGGCCCCCUGACUCCUGAAUCCUGCGAGUCACACGGCGGCACGGCCUGCAUAUCGGGGAGGAUGGCAGGCUGGGCUGUCCUGAGGUGACCAGGGAAUGCCAGACGCUUUGGGGGGGCAUUCCCGUGAUGACUGAAAGAAGAAGUGGCAGCGUCACAGCUGAAGGGAGGCUGUCAGAGUGACCAGAGUGGCCAGUCCAGAGGAGACGGGUGGGGCAAAGUCUCCAGGAGGCCAGGAGAUGCCUUCAAGAAAAGAAAUGGAAAGGAGUGAUGACCUGAUGCGUGUGAGAACACGGGGACGAGCCUUGCGGCUCCGUGGGAGAGCUUGGGUGAGGACCACCCGUGCCGCGGCGACCUCUGAUCGUCACCCAAGCUGUGCCCUCCCAUUUCACGAAAAUUAUCACCUGCUGAGCCCCCUUGCUGCUGCUCUCUGGGCGUGCACUGUGAGUGCACUGUGGAGUUUACGGACACCGGCCCCCGCGACGGUGGAGUUUACGGGGACCGGCCCCCGCGAUGGUGGAGUUUACAGACACUGGCUCCCGCGACGGUGGAGUUUACGGGGACCGGCCCCCGCGACGGCAGAGUUUAUGGGGACCGGCUCCCCCGACGGUGGGGGCCCACGAGUCCCAGCAUCUGCAGCAGAGUCGCCGGAUUGCAUGAGGUCAGCGAGUGUGUCCACUGCAGACCCUGCGGAGCCACCAUCCAAAACCACAUUGAGAAUAUUUCCAUUACUCUAGGAAAAGCUUCUCCGUCCAGCUGAGGCGGGAUGUCAUAGACUUACCCUCCUACCCGAAACAGCCAAAAAGCAAAACAAAACCAGACAAAACGCAGACACAUGGCUUCCAAGACACGGGACACCAGGCAUUAGAGGACAGUAACCCUGAGUGAUGGGAACAGCCGUGCCCUAGUCACCCGUGCUCACUGCCCUGGGAGGCAGUCCAGGCUGUGGGUGGGAAGGCGGAACCCACGCAGGUCCCAGUGGACCCCCGAGGCUGGACAGACCGAGGCGGCUCGAGUUCAUGGACACAGUACCAGAGUGGAGAGGGUCGCACAGAGAGGGACCCUGAAGACCUGGAUGGGACCCCUGGAGUAUUUGGAAGAGCAUGGCCCUGCGGAUCCCCAUAAGGAAACUCCCCAGGGUGGGUAAAAAGGCACCCGGAAGGAUGAGAGGGAACAGGGCCCGACUCCUGCAGGGCUGAGGACAGUGUCUCUCCCCAUCAGCCAAGCAGGAAAUCUCGUAACUCACGGGGCCUUGGGUGAAGCCCUUGGGAAGGGCUUGCCUCGGCGGGGGACGAUCAGCCUGAGCCCGAGCUGUGCUCUGAGCCCUCCUACCAAGCCAUAAAAGCAAGACUAGAAAGGAUCAAACUGCCUCCAGAUCACUUAACCGCACGUCCAGGACAAAGCUGAAGAUUUCCAGGAAGACAAAAAUCCCCGGCACCCAGCCAGGUGAAAUUCACAAGGACUGGCGUCCAAAGGAAGAGGACCUGCCAGGCAAUGGGAAAAGCAGGAGAACGGGACCCAUGAUGAGAAAAAUGAUGUAAUCAAAACCAUCCCAGGGCUGGGUGCGGUGGCUAACGCCUGUCAUCCUAGCACUUUGGGAAGCCGAGGUGGAGGAUCACUUGAGGCCAAGAGUUCAAGACCAGAUGGGGCAACAUAGUAAGACCCUGUCUCUAUGACAAAAAAAAAAAAAGGUAAAACCAUCCCAAAGUUGACACAGAUGUGAGAAUGAGCAGAGGUGGGCAUUGAAGCAGUCGUUUUUGCUGUAUUCCCUCUGUUCAGAAGUUAAGUAGAACCACAGCUCGAUGUCCCCUCAGGCUCAUUAGGAUGGUUACUAUUCAAAAAAAGAAAGUGGCCAGGUGCGGUGGCUCACGCCUGUAAUCCCAGCACUUUGGGAGGCCAAGGCGGGUG